CCUCCCUCUAAGUCUCCAGCUCCUUCCCCCUUACCAUGAAAUGAGCUUCACGAAAUUGUCAUUGAGCGCAAUGCCGGCCUUAGCAUCGAAGAUGGACGAGUGGGUAUCACCGAGGAAGUCCGUAGAGACGACCUGGAAGUCAGAAUUUCAAAGAUAAGUGUGUCCGGCAGAGCAAGGACCUCCAGGAGCUGAGGCCCCGACUCUUAACUCUAUCGCCCAUCCAUGCAUUCAUCUAUAAUAUUUGAUGUAGCCCUACUGUGUCCAGUCUCUGGACUGGAGGGUAUGACCAAGUGCAGGGUAUGACCAAGGCACUGUGUCAGGGUCUGGCCAAAGGGCACAGGUCACAAACACCCUCAUGCUGUACCAGUACAUCCCUUUCCUAGGAAUAAUGCAAGCGUUUGGAAUGGGCCAGCAUGGAGGGCCUCUCUGAGGGGUGGCCAUGAGCCUGGGUCUAGAUGACUAGAAAGAUCUGACCGGCUGGGGCCCUCAGCACAGUGUCUGAGGUAGAAGGAGCUGCAGGAAGGGAGGACCUGAGGGUUUUAGCCCUAGUGUCAUGAAAGGCCACAGGAGUGUUUUCAAUCCUGAAAACGGGUGAUGCAAUGUGAUUCCAUUAAAACAAAAGAUCCCAGUGACUGUGGGAAAGUGGACCUGCAGGAGUUAAUGCAGGGAGACAGCACCAAGGUGGAUGUACAGGGGUCCACCAUGACCAUGGCAUCCACUCCUCACAGAGAAGGCAUCUGGCCAUGGCCUGGCCCUGAGCAAGUAUUGAAAAAAAUGGGAGCUGUUGUCUUUUGUUCACUAAGCAUGUAUUAGUCACCUGCUGUAUGCCAGGUUGGAGCCACAAAAGUGAAAAGGCAGCCCCUAAAUCCCUGUUUUCUUGGAGUGCACACACCACUGGGGCCAACAGUGACUAUGAAAUGAAAUUUCAGGUGAGGAAUAUGGCCACAAAAAGAACAUAUUUUGAGGGGGUGCCUUGCUGAAGAGGGAGGUUCCUCCAGAGACUUGGAGGAAGUAAGGACAGACUGUAUGGUCACCUGGCAAGGGAAGCAUUCCAGACUAAAGGAACAGCAAGUGCAAAGGCCCUGAGGCAGGGAGAUCUCCCUUCCUGCCCUGCAGUUUCUGACUUGGCACAUUGAGAGCAGCUCCCUGGCAAGUGGAAAUCAUGUCCCUUCCCAGAGGGCUCCUCCCAGGGUCUCCUCUCCUCAGCCCCUACCUCAUCCUCGGUGUAGGCAAGGAUGCCAGCCAUGGGCCCCUUGGCUGCUGCUUUUACAGCCUCCUUGAUGGCUGAGUAGGGGGCAGGCUGGGCGAGGCGGCAGGUCAGGUCCACGACAGACACAUCCGGGGUUGGUACCCGGAACGCCAUCCCUGUCAGCUUCCUGGAGAAUCCCCCAUGAGGAACAGGAGUCAGAACUUAGGGACGUUGCCCUCCAUUCCCCCUUUCCCUGUGGCUGGGCCAGGCCCCUGCUUUCCUCUUAAGGACUGAGGGCCGGGCCAGUCCAGUCCUCCUGGCGUAUGCCCCCACCCUGGUUGCAGCUUCUUGUCCUCAUACCCUUUGAGCUCUGGGAUGACUUUGGUCACAGCUUUCGCAGCCCCAGUGGAGGCUGGGAUGAUGUUCUGGUGGGCACCCCGCCCAUCUCGCCAGGCCUUCCUUGAUGGCCCGUCCACUGUCUUCUGGGUGGCCGUGUAGGAAUGGACUGUGGUCUUGGGGAAGAGAAGGACCAAGAUGAGGCCUUCAUGCUCCUAAGCUCCCAUGCCUCUUUUUUCCAGGACUAAGUUGGUGGCCUAGGUGUGGAGGCUGGUGGGGCCACCACCACAGACCACAGGAGGGGAUGUGUGCAGGCCAGGGUCCAGCCUUGCCUGAGGGUUGCACAGUGUUUUAAGUGACUUCUGCACUGGUGGGCCUCUCCUCCCGAAACCAGUCUCUCCCUCUUAACUCCAUACAGUAAGCAAGGCCCGGGAAGAAGUUGGGUUUCCCUGCCAUCCUUCCUGCCCCAGCCCCUCAUCCUCAACUCACCAUCAACCCUUCCACGAUCCCAAAUCGCUCGUGGAUGACUUUGGCGAGGGGAGCCAAACAGUUGGUGGUGCAGGACGCGUUGCUGAAACAGCCAAGGUGUGCACGGACACUGUGAGGUGGUGACCUCCCCAACUCAGCCCUCAACCUCCUCAGAGGCGCCAAUGCUGACUGCUGUCAGCCAGCCCAGACCCUUUCUCCAUAUGCUGCCCGGGACGUGGACUCUGUGACUGUGAGGCCUGCCCGGCUGCUUUCUGCUUCCCAGCUCUGACAACCUCGCCAUGAACCCUCCUAGACCCUCAGCUCCUGCAAUAGGAAGCUGGCUGCCAAAGGCCAGGAGGGUCCCUGAAAACAGACACUGCAUUAAAGAAAAAGCUCCUGGAGGACUCCUGAAGCCUGAGGCAGCCUUGGGGCAGCAGUGGCUCAUGGUUUACAUUGGAAAGGUUUAUCAUGAGUAACCGGGUGCUUUGCUUCUGUGAUUCUUGGCCAGUGUCGGUCUGUUUCCUUUGCCAUUGAGCCUGCUCCCCUCAAUGGGGGGUUCAAUCAAUGUUUGUGGGGUUUGUUUGUUUUGAGACAGGGUCUUCCUCUGUCGCCCAGGCUGGAGUGCAGUGGUGCAAUCAGAGCUCACUGCAGCCUUGAUCUUCCUGGCUCCGGCCAUCCUCCUGCCUUGGCCUCCCGAGUAGCUGGGACUACAGGCGCACACCACCAUGCCAAGCUAAUUUUUAAAUUUUUUUGUAGAGAUGGGGUCUCACUUUUGUUGCCCAGGGUGCUUUAGAACCCCUGGGCUCAAGUGAUCCUUGACCUCCCACAGUGCUGGGAUUACAGGUGUGAGCCACCGUGCCUGGCCUCAUGGGUUUUCUUUGUUUUGUUUUGUUUUGUUUUUGAGACAGAGUCUCACUCUGUCACUCAGGCUGGAGUGCAGUGGCACGAUUUUGGCUCACUGCAACCUCCACCUUCCGGGUUCAAGCGAUUCUCCUGCCUCCGCCUCCCGAGUAGUUGGGGUUACAGGCAUGCGCUACCACACCUGGCUAGUUUUUUAUUGUUGUUGUUUUUUGUAUUUUUAGUGGUGACGGGGUUUGCUCUGUUGGCCAGGCUGGUCUCAAACUCCUGACCUCAGGUGAUCCCCACUUCAGCCUCCCAAAGUGCUGGGAUGACAGGCAUGAGCCUCUGCACCUGGCCUCGUGUUUUUUUUUUAGUUAGCCAUUUUAUACGUGUUUACUGAACACCUGUCCUGUGCCCAUAUUCUAAGUGCCUUACCUGCAUUAAACUCAUGUAACCUUCACAACCCG
rnacentral:lncRNA from 1 species